GCGGUGGCAAUACUGUAAUUAUCUCGAAAAUUGUCUAAAAUAAAUAUAUAUCUGGGCAAAUAUAUCCUCAGAUGUAACAAGUCAGGUUGAGUAAAUAAAAAAAAAAAAUUGGAACCAAAUAAUUGAUUCAAGUGCAAAACACUCUCAGACGCGUACCUACACUCAAAUAUAACACUCUCUCUCGAUGUCAAGAACAAAACCGAAGAACAAACCCAAACCCUCGAUUCGUCUCGAUUCGACAAUCUCUCACUCUCACUGUCACUCGUCCUCUCUCACUCAUUCUCUCGAUCUCGAUUUCGUCCUCUCUCUCACAGUGGUUCUCUCGAUCUGGAUCUCGAACCCUAAGCCCCAAAUCGAAGCUCAGUGAAACAAAUUGAAGCUUCUCUCAGAUUGUUAUCGUUCCUCUCCCUACAACUGAAAACACAAACAGAUGGUUCCAAGGAAUUUUGUUGAGAGAUAUUGGAAAGAUGUAUCAAAUCCAAUUUCCCUUAGACUUCCAAAUGAGUCUGUUUGUAAAAUGUUUUGGGUGCAAUUUGGUGACGAGAUUUGGCUUCAGGAUUGGAAAAGGUUUGCACGGUCGCUUAGAUGCGGAGAUCUUAAAGUUUUUCAAUACAAAGGAGGAUCAGAUUUUCAUGUCAUUAUACUUGAUGAUAGUAAACUAGAAAUUGACUAUUCAAGUAUGAUUUGCAACGAUAAACAAGAAGCUAAAGAGAGUGAUGAUGAUGGCUAUGUUGAGAUUACAAAUGAGGCUGAUAAUGCCAAACAAUCCCUCAAGAAAAAGAAAAUCAACUCAAAUGAUAGUGAUACCACUACUGCUACAACUCAAGUGACAAACAUUGUCAAUAGAAAAAUUAAUACAAAGGCAACCCAGCAAAAAGUCUUAGGCAAGUUAAUAUACAUCCUUUUACUUAUAUAGCUAUUCAUCGGUAAAAUAUGUUUUUAUUUGGUCCCUAUAUCUCAAAUUUUGUUUUUAGCCUUUCUAUCCACUUUUCAAUCUAUAUAGCUUACAAGUUUUUAGGCUGGAACUAAUUUACUUAUUUUCAAGAUGUGAUCUUUAUUUUGUACCUUUAAAGUUUUAUAGAGGCUAAUGGAACCAGAGGAGGCAGCGGUAAGAAAGCUAAGAAAUGCUCAAAAACUGUAGAUGCAAAUAAGAGAAGCUGCACUGAUGCUCUUGGAUUUUUAAACCUUGUUGAAGGAGAAAAACAAAUUCAAACCUGGAUGUUUUCAAGAAGGAGAAAGACAAAUUCAAACCUGGAUCUAAGGUAGAAGAAAAUUAAGGGUUGUUUAAGAACAAGUGGAGUGGCAGCAAAAGCUGCGUUUCUGUUACUAAACAGCUCGUCUAGUGAGAAGCAUCAUCGCCUAGCGACGACAGCAGCGUGCUCUGCCUCUGUAUGUUGUUCUUUCCCCUAUCCAACCAUUCUUGAUCGUAGGUAAGCAAACUCAAGCUCUUUUCCUUCUCUCUAGGAUUAUUCUAUUCUUUUGGUGUUACAAAUAUCACUAAUCUCAUUCUUGGUAAUUAUAUGUGGCUUGUUUGGAGAAAGAGGCUGUGAUUGAAGUAUUUGGAGCUGAGAAUUGAAUGAAAAUGGAAGGACAUGGCCAUUUGGAGAAAGAAAAACGCAGAUUAUGAUGUUGCCGAUGAUGAGGCUUAGGAGCUAGCUAGGUUAUGAAUUGCGAAACAGCUGGGUAACUUGUUUUCUUGACCUAUACAAUCCCGAGGUAGAUUAUGAUGUUGCCGAUGAUGAGGCUUAGGAGCUAGCUAGGUUAAUUUGUGUGAUGUUACAAUGGAUUCACAUUAAUUAUGAUGUUUUGAAUUGUAAUGACUUGUAUUUUGCUUGAAAGUUAUAACAUUUUGGAUGAAUGAGUUGGUAUUUUGCUUGAAUUGUAAUGACUUGGUAUUUUAUUUGAAUUGUAAUGACUUGGUUGAAUGUAAUUGUAUUUUGGUUGAAUGUUGAA